UACGGGGGGGGCAAGCGUUGUUCGGAAUUACUGGGCGUAAAGGGCGCGUAGGCGGCCUUCUAAGUCGGACGUGAAAUCCCUCGGCUUAACCGGGGAACUGCGUCCGAUACUGAAAGGCUUGAAUCCGGGAGAGGGAUGUGGAAUUCCAGGUGUAGCGGUGAAAUGCGUAGAUAUCUGGAGGAACACCGGUGGCGAAGGCGGCAUCCUGGACCGGCAUUGACGCUGAGGCGCGAAAGCUAGGGGAGCAAACGGG
rnacentral:rRNA from 1 species